UCUAAAUAACUGGUGCCAGAAGACUCGGUAACACCAGAAACGCGAACGUUAGUCGUCUUAAACAGGCGUAAAGGGUAAGUAGGCUGCUUUAAAUGUCUAAAUUCAUAUAAGCUAAUUAAUAAAUUAUUUUUUUUUUACUAAAACUUUUUCAAUUAAAUAUAAAGAUGACUAAAUAAGCUUCGUUGUAUUUAACACACUAAAAAUGAAAUUAUUUAGUAACCAUGCAAUAAUAAUUAUUUUUUAUUAAAAUAGACUCACUUAAAGCUAGAAUCAUAAUUGAGAUAAACCAAAUAAUACUUAAGUGUAAGGGCGAUAUCUGUAAAUACUAAGUAGAAUACUAAUGGUGAAAACUUUUUAUCUAGGAAUGAUUGACGCUGAGGUACGAAAGUGAGAAUAGGGAAUAGGAUUAGAUACCCAGUUACCUCUCACCGUCAACGAUGAAUGGAAGUUGUUAAUUUACUAAAAUUAGUGACGAUGUUAACGCGAUAACCAUUCCGCCUUGAGAGUACGGUUGCAAAACUGAAACCAAAAAAAUUAGUCGGUUCUACGGAGCAAA
rnacentral:rRNA from 1 species